UACGGGGGGUGCAAGCGUUGUUCGGAAUUAUUGGGCGUAAAGAGCGUGUAGGCGGCUGAAUAAGUCAGAUGUGAAAUCCCUGGGCUUAACCCAGGACGUGCAUUUGAAACUAUUCAGCUUGAGUAAGGGAGAGGAAAGUGGAAUUCCUGGUGUAGAGGUGAAAUUCGUAGAUAUCAGGAGGAACACCGGUGGCGAAGGCGACUUUCUGGCCCUAUACUGACGGCCCCCCGCGAGAGCGUGGGUAG
rnacentral:rRNA from 1 species